UACGUAGGGUCCAAGCGUUAAUCGGAAUUACUGGGCGUAAAGCGUGCGCAGGCGGUUGUGCAAGACCGAUGUGAAAUCCCCGAGCUUAACUUGGGAAUUGCAUUGGUGACUGCACGGCUAGAGUGUGUCAGAGGGGGGUAGAAUUCCACGUGUAGCAGUGAAAUGCGUAGAGAUGUGGAGGAAUACCGAUGGCGAAGGCAGCCCCCUGGGAUAACACUGACGCUCAUGCACGAAGGCGUGGGGAGCAAACAGG
rnacentral:rRNA from 1 species